rnacentral:rRNA from 1 species
AGUUUGAUCCUGGCUCAGAUUGAACGCUGGCGGCAUGCUUUACACAUGCAAGUCGAACGGCAGCACGGGAGCUUGCUCCGGGUGGCGAGUGGCGAACGGGUGAGUAAUAUAUCGGAACGUGUCCAAUAAUGGGGGAUAACUAGUCGAAAGAUUAGCUAAUACCGCAUACGCCCUGAGGGGGAAAGUGGGGGAUCUUCGGACCUCACGUUAAUGGAGCGGCCGAUAUCUGAUUAGCUAGUUGGUGAGGUAAAGGCUCACCAAGGCGACGAUCAGUAGCUGGUCUGAGAGGACGACCAGCCACACUGGGACUGAGACACGGCCCAGACUCCUACGGGAGGCAGCAGUGGGGAAUUUUGGACAAUGGGCGAAAGCCUGAUCCAGCCAUGCCGCGUGUGUGAAGAAGGUCUUCGGAUUGUAAAGCACUUUAAGUUGGGAGGAAGGGUAUUCACCUAAUACGUGAGUAUUUUGACGUUACCGACAGAAUAAGCACCGGCUAACUUCGUGCCAGCAGCCGCGGUAAUACGUAGGGUGCAAGCGUUAAUCGGAAUUACUGGGCGUAAAGCGUGCGCAGGCGGUUGUGUAAGACAGGUGUGAAAUCCCCGGGCUUAACCUGGGAAUUGCAUUUGUGACUGCACGACUAGAGUGUGUCAGAGGGGGGGUGGAAUUCCACGUGUAGCAGUGAAAUGCGUAGAUAUGUGGAGGAACACCAAUGGCGAAAGGCAGCCCCUGGGAUAACACUGACGCUCAUGCACGAAAGCGUGGGGGAGCAAACAGGAUUAGAUACCCUGGUAGUCCACGCCCUAAACGAUGUCAACUAGUUGUUGGGGAUUUACUUUCCUUGGUAACGUAGCUAACGCGUGAAGUUGACCGCCUGGGGAGUACGGCCGCAAGGUUAAAACUCAAAGGAAUUGACGGGGACCCGCACAAGCGGUGGAUGAUGUGGAUUAAUUCGAUGCAACGCGAAAAACCUUACCUACCCUUGACAUGGCAGGAACUUUCCAGAGAUGGAUUGGUGCUCGAAAGAGAACCUGCACACAGGUGCUGCAUGGCUGUCGUCAGCUCGUGUCGUGAGAUGUUGGGUUAAGUCCCGCAACGAGCGCAACCCUUAUCAUUAGUUGCUACGCAAGGGCACUCUAAUGAGACUGCCGGUGACAAACCGGAGGAAGGUGGGGAUGACGUCAGGUCAUCAUGGCCCUUAUGGGUAGGGCUACACACGUCAUACAAUGGCCGGUACAGAGGGCUGCCAACCCGCGAGGGGGAGCUAAUCUCAGAAAACCGGUCGUAGUCCGGAUCGCAGUCUGCAACUCGACUGCGUGAAGUCGGAAUCGCUAGUAAUCGCGGAUCAGCUUGCCGCGGUGAAUACGUUCCCGGGUCUUGUACACACCGCCCGUCACACCAUGGGAGCGGGUUCUGCCAGAAGUGGGUAGCCUAACCGCAAGGAGGGCGCUCACCACGGCAGGGUUCGUGACUGGGGUGAAGUCGUAACAAGGUAGCCGU